GACGAACGCUGGCGGCGUGCUUAACACAUGCAAGUCGAACGGAAAGGCCCUGCUUUUGUGGGGUGCUCGAGUGGCGAACGGGUGAGUAACACGUGAGUAACCUGCCCUUGACUUUGGGAUAACUUCAGGAAACUGGGGCUAAUACCGGAUAGGAGCUCCUGCUGCAUGGUGGGGGUUGGAAAGUUUCGGCGGUUGGGGAUGGACUCGCGGCUUAUCAGCUUGUUGGUGGGGUAGUGGCUUACCAAGGCUUUGACGGGUAGCCGGCCUGAGAGGGUGACCGGCCACAUUGGGACUGAGAUACGGCCCAGACUCCUACGGGAGGCAGCAGUGGGGAAUAUUGCACAAUGGGCGGAAGCCGGAUGCAGCAACGCCGCGGGCGGGAUAACGGCCUUCGGGUUGUAAACCGCUUUCGCCUGUGACGAAGCGUGAGUGACGGUAAUGGGUAAAGAAGCACCGGCUAACUACGUG
rnacentral:rRNA from 1 species